rnacentral:rRNA from 1 species
GUGGUAAUGCCGGAUGCUCCGGUUGGAUGCAUGUCCUUCCGGGAAAGGUUCCAUCGGUAUGGGAUGGGGUCGCGUCCUAUCAGCUUGAUGGCGGGGUAACGGCCCACCAUGGCUUCGACGGGUAGCCGGCCUGAGAGGGCGACCGGCCACAUUGGGACUGAGAUACGGCCCAGACUCCUACGGGAGGCAGCAGUGGGGAAUAUUGCACAAUGGGCGCAAGCCUGAUGCAGCGACGCCGCGUGCGGGAUGGAGGCCUUCGGGUUGUAAACCGCUUUUGAUCGGGAGCAAGCCCUUCGGGGUGAGUGUACCUUUCGAAUAAGCACCGGCUAACUACGUGCCAGCAGCCGCGGUAAUACGUAGGGUGCAAGCGUUAUCCGGAAUUAUUGGGCGUAAAGGGCUCGUAGGCGGUUCGUCGCGUCCGGUGUGAAAGCCCAUCGCUUAACGGUGGGUCUGCGCCGGGUACGGGCGGGCUGGAGUGCGGUAGGGGAGACUGGAAUUCCCGGUGUAACGGUGGAAUGUGUAGAUAUC